UACGAAGGGGGCUAGCGUUGUUCGGAAUUACUGGGCGUAAAGCGCGUGUAGGCGGGUCUUUAAGUCAGGGGUGAAAUGCCAAGGCUCAACCUCGGAACUGCCUUUGAUACUGGAGACCUUGAGUCCGGGAGAGGUGAGUGGAAUUGCGAGUGUAGAGGUGAAAUUCGUAGAUAUUCGCAAGAACACCAGUGGCGAAGGCGGCUCACUGGCCCGAUACUGACGCUGAGGAGCGAAAGCGUGGGGAGCGAACAGG
rnacentral:rRNA from 1 species